UACGUAGGGGGCGAGCGUUGUCCGGAUUUAUUGGGCGUAAAGAGCGCGUAGGUGGUUCGCCAAGUCGGAUGUGAAAUCUCCAGGCUCAACCUGGAGCUGCCAUUCGAUACUGGCGUGACUAGAGUCCGGUAGGGGACCACGGAAUUCCUGGUGUAGCGGUGAAAUGCGCAGAUAUCAGGAGGAACACCGAUGGCGAAGGCAGUGGUCUGGGCCGGUACUGACGCUGAGGCGCGAAAGCGUGGGUAGCAAACAGG
rnacentral:rRNA from 1 species